CAUUUAAUGAAAGAAAGUUGUCUUCCAUUGCAAAUAGAAUGUGAAAAAGAACUUGUGAAUCAAGCUCUAAGUCAUAUGCAAGCAUGAUUAUCUUCAUUGGACAGGUACUUAAACUUUACUAAUCAUGUGUUUUGAACAAAAUGAUGGUUGAAGUCAAGCAAUCCAACCCUUUUGAUUUUGUGAUGCAAGCUUUUGAUUGGGCAAAGAAUAUAGAAGCACUUUUAUGUACUAGUGGGGACUGCUUUUAUUUCACUUUACAAGAUUUUAGAAUAGCUCAGUCAAGUUAGCUUGACGUUAGUAGUAGUAGUGCUGAUUUUUGUACAAAAGGGAAAAUGUGCAAUGCUGAGUGAAGCUAUGUACAUGUAUAAACAUUGAAACACUACUUUUGUUGGAGUUUUUGAAA